AUGGAGAUGCCGGGAGGGAGCGGCGGGGCCGGCGCGCUGGCCAGGCAGGGGUCGAUCUACUCGCUGACGUUCGACGAGUUCCAGAGCGCGCUCGGCGGCGCCGGCAAGGACUUCGGGUCCAUGAACAUGGACGAGCUGCUCCGCAACAUCUGGACGGCCGAGGAGUCCAACGCCAUCGCGGCCACCCUGACGCCGGCCACCACGGCCGCCCCGGCGUCCAAUGUCGACGCCCUGCCCCAGCCGCCGCCGCUGCAGCCGCAGCAGCAGGCCAUCCUGCGCCAGGGCUCCAUGACGCUGCCCCGCACGCUCAGCCAGAUGACGGUCGACGAGGUCUGGCGCGACAUCAUGGGCUUCUGCGACGAGGAGCCGCCGGCGCCCCCCGCGCCGGCGCCGGCCCAGGCUCAGGCUCAGGCUCAGGCGGAGGCCCAGGCGCAGCGGCAGCAGACCCUGGGGCGGAUGACGCUGGAGGAGUUCCUGGUGCGCGCCGGCGUGGUGCGGGAGGACAUGGGGGGCCAGACCGUUGUCGUGCCGGCGCGGGCGCAGGCUCUGUUCCCUCAGGGCAAUGUGGUCGCGCCGGCCAUGCAGGUGGCGAACGGGGUGGUGCACGGAGUCGUCGGGCAGGGGCCUGGCGUGGCGAUGACGGUGGCGGCGCCGACGACGCCGGGCGUGCUGAACGGGUUCGGCAAGAUGGAGGGCGGGGAUCUCUCGUCGCUGUCGCCGGUGCCGUAUCCCUUCGACACCGUGACGAGGGCCAGGAAGGGGCCUACCGUCGAGAAGGUGGUCGAGAGGAGGCAGAGGCGCAUGAUCAAGAACCGGGAGUCCGCCGCCAGGUCCCGCCAGAGGAAGCAGGCUUAUAUAAUGGAGUUGGAAGCCGAGGUUGCAAAACUGAAGGAGAACAAUGAGGCAUUGCAGAAAAAACAGGUGGAAAUGCUACAGAAGCAAAAGGAUGAGGUUAUAGAGAGGAUCGAAAAGCAGCUUGGACCAAAGGCAAAGAGGUUUUGCUUGCAACGAACGCUGACCGGUCCGUGGUAG
rnacentral:rRNA from 1 species